UGCUUUUGUUGAAAGGACCUGCUUACGUUU
rnacentral:piRNA from 1 species